UGGGGAAUAUUGCACAAUGGGCGCAAGCCUGAUGCAGCCAUGCCGCGUGUAUGAAGAAGGCCUUCGGGUUGUAAAGUACUUUCAGCGGGGAGGAAGGCGUUAAGGUUAAUAACCUUGGCAAUUGACGUUACCGACAGAAGAAGCACCGGCUAACUCCGUGCCAGCAGCCGCGGUAAUACGGAGGGUGCAAGCGUUAAUCGGAAUUACUGGGCGUAAAGCGCACGCAGGCGGUUGAUUGAGUCAGAUGUGAAAUCCCCGGGCUUAACCCGGGAAUUGCAUCUGAUACUGGUCAGCUAGAGUCUUGUAGAGGGGGGUAGAAUUCCAUGUGUAGCGGUGAAAUGCGUAGAGAUGUGGAGGAAUACCGGUGGCGAAGGCGGCCCCCUGGACAAAGACUGACGCUCAGGUGCGAAAGCGUGGGGAGCAAACAGG
rnacentral:rRNA from 1 species